UACGUAGGGUGCGAGCGUUAAUCGGAAUUACUGGGCGUAAAGCGUGCGCAGGCGGUUUAUCAAGACAGACGUGAAAUCCCCGGGCUUAACCCGGGAACUGCGUUUGUGACUGGUAGGCUAGAGUGCGGCAGAGGGGGGUGGAAUUCCGCGUGUAGCAGUGAAAUGCGUAGAUAUGCGGAGGAACAUCGAUGGCGAAGGCAGCCCCCUGGGUCGACACUGACGCUCAUGCACGAAAGCGUGGGGAGCAAACAGG
rnacentral:rRNA from 1 species